CCUACGGGAGGCAGCAGUGGGGAAUAUUGCACAAUGGGGGAAACCCUGAUGCAGCGACGCCGCGUGAGUGAAGAAGUAUCUCGGUACGUAAAGCUCUAUCAGCAGGGAAGAAAAUGACGGUACCUGACUAAGAAGCCCCGGCUAACUACGUGCCAGCAGCCCCGGUAAUACGUAGGGGGCAAGCGUUAACCGGAAUUACUGGGUGUAAAGGGAGCGUAGACGGCAGCACAAGUCUGGAGUGAAAGCCCGGGGCUUAACCCCGGAACUGCUUUGGAAACUGUGCGGCUGGAGUGCAGGAGGGGGGAGCGGAAUUCCUGGUGUAGCGGUGAAAUGCGUAGAGAUUAGGAGGAACACCGGUGGCGAAGGCGGCUUACUGGACUGUAACUGACGUUGAGGUUCGAAAGCGUGGGGAGCAAACAGGAAUAGAUACCCUAGUAGUC
rnacentral:rRNA from 1 species